CAUGGGUAAUACCUAUUUUAGGCACCAUAAUAUGACAUAUAUAUUGUUGACAAAAUAACACUAUCGACCAAAUUUUAUUUAGAAUCGUUUUUCGUUAACAAUGGUUUAUCGUUGUAAUGAGAUAUACAUUAAAUUUAUGUCUAAAUCCUACCUUCCCAACUUCCAACAUACAAUAAUAACUACACUUGUCUCUAUUAUCUUAGUGUAGCUUUUUAGGAUUAAUCAUUUAAUAACUAGUGAGUCAUAAUACUAAUUCUGUUUGAAUUGCCUCUGGAAAGUUUUCUACUUAUAUAUAUAUGUGAGGUUUG